UUUUGCCUUACUACUCAAAAAAAUGUCACUGAAACUCAUUUUUUAGGGAAAUAUUCACACGAACAUACACGAAACAAAAUCCAACGUCGGGCAAGAGAUCUCUGACGGGUUCAAGCACGAAUCGAAGAUGUGCAGCUCCUGCUGUGGAUGCUGCUGCGCACCUUGUUGCAGCCCCUGUUGCAGCCCAUGUUGCAGUCCUUGCAGCAAUGACUGCGGCAGCUCCUGUUGCAGUCCUUGCUGCAGUCCCUGCUGCAGUCCUUGCUGCCCCCCCUGUUGCCAGCCGUGCUGCCAGCCGUGCUGCCAACCGUGUUGCCAACCGUGCUGCACGCCGUGCUGCAAGUGUUGCUGUUGCCAACCUUGCUGCACGCCGUGCUGCCCGCCCUGCUGCCCUCCCUGCUGCCCGCCCUGCUGCCCUCCGUGUUGCCAGCCCUGCUGCCCUCCUUGCUGUCCACCUUGCUGCCCUCCCUGUUGCAACUCAUGCUGCUCCCCGUGCGGAGGGUCAAAGUGCAAGUGAUCCACGGUAGCUAAAUUGGAAUCGGAGGCAAUCGCAAAUGUCACCACAAGUUCGUGGGGCUCGUUGGAGAACCGCCGAAACCCACCUGCCAUCACCAGCUAAGGCAACCAAAUACACGAAAAGUAAACAGCAGACCAAAGUUUUUAGACCCUCAAGGAAUAAGGAUAUGAGCACGUGAGGGGACACCAAACAUCUGCUCCCGGGGCCAUGUUAAUGAAGACACAGAUUAGGCACGGAGGCGGCCCAGGUAAAAGUUGGUCAGCCCAAACUUAUGCCAGUUUGUGCUGUGUAAACUUUUUGGCCUCUUCCGAAAAUUAAUUAAAAUCAGUUUCAACUUGUGUGACACGAGCACUCCUCACACAAAAGAAAUUACAUUACAAGCCAAGAUGAGUCAACUACAUGGCAACGGAGUCGCUUCGAAAACUUCCAGGGGCAAAUGUAAUUACUCAGUGGGAUUUCUUACGAUUUGGGUAUCCUUGAAGUUCCAAUGAAAUACAAGAAAAUAUGUUUCAGAAAA